GAGGGUAUAGCUCAGUGGUAGAGUGCAUGCUUAGCAUGCACGAGAUCCUGGUUCAAUCCCCAGUACCUCCA
rnacentral:tRNA from 1 species